GGUUAUAUAUAUUUAAGAAUGAAUCAUUAAUAGGACUAGAGUAACUUUGAGCAGCUUGAACUUGUUCUGGGAUGAAAGGUGAAAACUGUGCAGUCGUGGGAUAUUCACUAACAUGAUGGGCUGGACUAGCACAGAUAGAAUAAAUCUUCUGAUAAUUAGAAGAUUGUAUGUAUUGCAUAGGAGAUUGUAAAUCUAAGGC
rnacentral:lncRNA from 1 species